GUCACUGCAGAUGUUAAGCAAUACUUCCCUAACAUACCUUUUGCUGCUACUUCAGCUUUCGUCGCUACCUGGGACAGUGUUCCAUACUAUAAUGGUGGAGGGGUGGUCACUUUGCAAGUGAUUUUAGCCUACAACGUUCAUCGUUCUUUCAUCCUGAUCCGUUAUGGAGAUGUUGCUGAAACAGAACAACCUUGGCAGGCUGGUUAUAACACUGUGGACUCUACAAGUU